CCUACGGGAGGCUGCAGUGAGGAAUAUUGGUCAAUGGACGAGAGUCUGAACCAGCCAAGUAGCGUGAAGGAUGACUGCCCUCUGGGUUGUAAACUUCUUUUAUAUGGGAAUAAAACGUUCCACGUGUGGGAUUUUGUAUGUACCAUAUGAAUAAGGAUCGGCUAACUCCGUGCCAGCAGCCGCGGUAAUACGGAGGAUCCGAGCGUUAUCCGGCUUUAUUGGGUUUAAAGGGAGCGUAGGUGGAUUGUUAAGUCAGUUGUGAAAGUUUGCGGCUCAACCGUAAAAUUGCAGUUGAAACUGGCAGUCUUGAGUACAGUAGAGGUGGGCGGAAUUCGUGGUGUAGCGGUGAAAUGCUUAGAUAUCACGAAGAACUCCGAUUGCGAAGGCAGUUCACUGGACUGCAACUGACACUGAGGCUCGAAAGUGUGGGUAUCAAACAGGAUUAGAUACCCCUGUAGUC
rnacentral:rRNA from 1 species